AACUGCUUGAUGUUAUUUUACAUAUAUAUUUAUAACAAUAAAAAUGCAAGUUUAAAAGUAAAUGAUUUAUAAACAUAAUUACCACAUUCAACAAUAAAAUGGAAAAACUAAUAAUUGGAAAAAGUCUUAAAUUUAGCAUUCACUUAUUAUGCUAAGCAAAGUAAGUCAGAAGGUAAAAGAUAAAUAUCAUAUGGUUUCAUUUAUAUGUAGAAUACAGAGAAUCUGAACAAAAUGUCUAGAAAAAGACAAAACUUUCAAAUUAUGUGCCCUUAAGGGAAAAAUCUCUCUUCCCAACCUGAGCACGCCACUGUCACCAAUGGACAGAUCAACAAGACAAAAAAUAAACAAGAACAUACUAACACUAAAUAAAGAUCUAGACCACAUGGGCCCAAGAGACAUCGGUAAGACACUGCACCUCCAAAAACUGAAUACACACUUCUCAAGUGCACACUGAUCAUUCUCCAGGAUCAGUCACAUGUACUGGGUCACAAGACAAAUAUCAACAAGUACAUGAAGAUUGAAAUAAUACCAUAAAUUCAUCAAACUAGAAAUCAACUAUGAAAAGAGCAAGGAACCCCCACUACACAUGGAAAUGGAACAACAUGCAACUGAGAGACCACUGCACUAAAGAUGAAAUCAAAGAAGAAAUGAAAAAGUACCUUGAAUGAAUGAAAAUGAGGGAAACAGCUUUUCAGAAGGCAUGGGACACAGCAAAAGCAGUAUCAAGAGGAAAGUAUAAAAUAAUUCAGGUCCACAUCAAGAAACAAGAAAAAAACAAUAAAAUACCUAAUCUCCCAUCUCGAAGAACUAGAAAAAGAACAUAAAACCCCAAAAGCCAGUAGAAGAAAGGAAAUAACAAAAAUUAAAGCAGAAAUAAAUGAAAUAGAAAUAAAAGACAGUCCAAAAGAUCAUUGAAACCAAAAGCUGGUUCUUUGAAAAAAAUGAAUAGAUAACCCUCCAGCUAGACUCACAAAGAAAAACAAGAGGGGAGACUCAAAUAGGAUCAUAAAUGAAAGAGGAAAAAUCACAACAGACAGAGCAGACAGAACUGUGGUCAAGAAAAGACCACAUACUGGGUCACGAGACAAACACAGUCCGAGAUUACUAUGAACCUCUACAUGCAAACAAGUUCAACAAUCUAGAUGCGAUGGAUAGAUUCUUAAGCUAAUAAACAGUGGCACCUGGGUAUCUGGGCGGUGGCCCAUCCGUGUAUGGAUGAAACCACAAAAUGAAAACAAAAUUUAGAAAUGAGCUUGAUAUCCUUCACUCAAGGGAACACCAUCAGUGGAUUGGAGGUGAGGAGGGUAGGACACACUUCCUGAGAAAUUUUGGCCAAAAACAGGUUAUACAGAGAGUUGGAAGUGGCAGUAUUGAAAUAGAGCAUGACUGGCUGGGAUUGCCAAUAUCUGACAUUAUCUUAAAAGAUCAAGGAACAGGAAAUAAGCACAGGGCCAGGGCUGCAUGGUGUCUGGGGUCUGGCUGACUAGACGAGCUGCCCUUCUGGUGAAGGGUAGAUUCAUGGAAACAGGAACACCCCGAACUGACCUGACACCCUGGGCAGGCUGGCUCCAUCCUGGGCUAGAGAUUCACUUCAACAUGAAGAGGUGAUGAGUACUUGUUAUUUCUUUUUUUUUAAAAUAAUUUACUUUCUCCUCUCUGGCGUACUAAUAAAAUCCCUUAAAUGAAAAAAAAAAAAAUCAAAUGUCAAAAUCAAGUAACAGGAAAAAAAAAAAAUCAAAAGAGGAGGCAGCAACUGCAGUCUGCACACCACCCACGCCCUUGGUUGCUGGACUUUCCUGAUGCCCUCCAGAACUGACUCUCCCAUCCUCUGUCCUUUGUCUGCAGUUGAAGAUGUUAUUUGAAGAGGUGGCUGAGGCCAUUUCGCGGGUUACUCAGCUUUCCUGGGUCUUCCCCAGGUUUGCAAGGACGUAUCCAUGUUUAUUAAAAUUAUUUUUCUCCAACUAAUUGGCCUUUUAUUACAGGAAGUUCUCAGCCAAGAACCCUGCAGGAUACAGGGGAAAUUACUUUUCCUCCCUUACAGGAUCCUGACUCAUACACAGAGGACUUUACAAAAUGGGAGACAGAAGGUGUUACAGAGCAAACCUGAAGGAAGGGGUUGACCCAGGUCCCCCAAGUCUCUGGUGCCAGUCCCAGGCCAAGAAGGCAGCAGACUUCCUGCCCGCCUGUGACCUGUACCUGCCGGGGCUUCUCUUCACUGACCUCCCUCAGCGGAGGCAGCUCUCCUCAAGGCCCCGCGUGCAACCAUGCAGGCCUCUCUCAGCAAAUCUGUCCCUUCGGGGCAGCCCUUCCUGCCCGCUUGUGUCCAUGCAAGUGUCUUUUACUCUUCUGUCCCUUUCCCCAAUAAACCUGCCCAUUAACUACAACUAACGUCUCUGUCUCAUGGAGAAACUCCUGGGAAACUCGCUGCUUGCUGCUGAAAUGGGAGCUCUGGUGAAAUCUGUCCCAGAGUGAACCCAAGGACCCCGCAAUCCAAAUCCACUGACUCCAAAAACCCUGUUGGAAGCACUGAGAACCGUACCAGCAGUGAAAACACUCCUCAGAGGUGUCAGCAAUACCUGCCACUGCUUUUCCCAUCAUUCUCAUCCCAUCAGCAUGACAACCGUCAACCGGGGACGCCAGCAGAAGCUGAGAAAGAAGCAAAGUGGAGCAGAACCACAAGAGAGCAGAGAAGCAGAGACCACCAGAGAACGCUGGAGAGCCCAGAAAGAGUGAAGACUUGCUGGGGGCUGGAAGGCUGGCAGGCCCCCAGCACCCUGCCUGCUGUGUACCUGGUAAACCCCAAUAAAAGCCUGCAAAAGCCACCGAGGGCUCCAGGACUCCUCCUUUACCGGGUCUGCUGGAUCAGAAUACUGGCUCAGUGUCAUUCCUGCCUCUACAGGCACCCUUUUGGUUCCAGCCCAGUGGUUCUCAAUCAGGCUGAGAAGUGGACUUGGGGGCUGGAGCACCCUGUUCCUAACUGACUGCCUGGAACCAAUUCCUUGCUUCCUCCCUCACUAUCCCCAAAUAGCAUUAGUCAGCUCAGUGUGAUUUUUAAAGGAAAAGGUACCUUCUCAAUAGCUCCAACGUCUGAAAAUUACCCAAAACGCCUUAGUUGAUUUUAGGAAAUGAUCGCCAAUGCUACCAAAAUCUAAAAACAACAGUAAUAUAAAACCAACACUUCCCUAGUUCCCUUUAUAAAUAAACUUGUAAAAGCUGUGAAGCUGCCCACAGCCUCUGCAGUGUGGGUUUGAUCCCCGCUGGCUGGCGAGAAUCCCACAUGGCGUGGCAGACCUCUCCUGUCAGCAGGCUGCUCCCCUCAGCAGUGUAUUUCAUCAGUCUGCCUGUUCUGUUCCCCACUCUCUCUGGUGAAUCCUCUCACCCUCCCUCCCGCACAUCUGGCCUGUACCUGGGUUCUUGUAUGCAUGACUAAAUCUUAAAAAACAAAACAAAACACAUCUGUAGGGUAAAGAAAAUUUCAGGCUUUUCUGCCCUUCUGCCAUCAGGAUAGAUGAUGGAUCCUUGUCCUGAAUGCAUGCCUGAUGGCGGGCACCUGGAAUAGGGUGUGGGCAUAGGUAGAUGGGAUUCAGCUGAGCUAAGACUGUGCUUUUAAGGGUGGUGUCACGGGGACGCCAGCAGCAGCAGCAGUAGAAGCCGAAGCCGAAAGAGAAACCGAGAAGCAGCAGAACGAACGCCUGACGUAAGUCGGCAAGAUCCAUGCAGACGGGUAUUGGAGCCCUCCAAAGACCUGGAGGGACUAAGGAGAACAGACUGUUUACCUGUGAUGACGCUGGAAGCGCCAUGGCGGCACAGAAGGUGGACAACGUCCACAAGCUACAGGAUGAGACCUGGCGUGAAGGAGACACCAAAGAGAACCAGCCAACGACACCUGAAAGGACCAGCCAAUGACCCUUGAGGCAGCAGACUCAUCGGCGAAAAGUGGACCAUGACUCAGCUCGCCAGUGCUGAUGCAGGGAGAGGCCAACGGACUUUGACUGCUGGACAUGGACUGAUGAACUUGGACUGACAAACCUGCCAGAAGGCGGAGGACCUUGAAGGUUGAUAUGUUUUGGGACCCUGGGGGUGGAACAGUUUUGUUUGUACACCCCAGGAGAUGGGAAUCUGGGGGUAGCCAGUGGGCCUUGAUGGCCAAAAGCAGCCUGUGCAUGCCCAGCAGCCAGGUGGAGGAGAAAAGCCAACUGAGAAGGCAAAAGCUGGUGCUGAUGCUAAGUUGAGAAGCCCUGAGUGGCUGUUAAGCAGCCUGGGUAUGCUGAAGCCCUGUGAGUCUCGUAAAAUCACCUGCGGGUGAUGCCCUGCUCAUUCUCGGGUGAGGGUGAGGAGCUGAGUAACCUGUCCUUGGGGGACGGGUGGGGAACGUGGCUUGGGGUGGAGCCCAAGACGCAUGUAGAGUUUGGAUCCCCGACCCAUGUGCUUGUGCAGUGGGUUGGCCUGAGUGCAGGGGUCUGCGUGUCGUAUGGGUGGCUAUGAAGGCCGAGUGUUGGAGCGACUGCAGACAGAAAUCCUGAGGGUUGGCGAUUACCCCCAACAGAAUAGAAUCGCCAAUCCCAGAGCUAGUGCAUCCUGGGGGUGGAUGCUGUGUGUGGCUUGUAGCUGAGACUACAGCCAGAGAAGGCCAGGAAGCCUGACGGCUCCGGGCAUGUUGCAAUAGAUGUCGUGAGUGAUUCCCCUCCCACGUAUGAGCAGUGCCUUUGGCAGCAGAUUUGGUGGCUCAUCUGCUGGUACCAAUAGUUGUCUUUUGCACUAGGUUGGUGCCCUGCCUGGACUUAUUUGUGUUCUGUUGUAUUUUGUUAUAUUGUAUUUUGUUAUAUUUGAUGUAUUUGAUUUUGUGGGCCAUGGCUGCAUUGUUUGUUUGCUUAGAAAAUUGUAUAUAUAUGUAUAGACUGUAUGGCAGAAAACCCUGAGGGGAUGGCCUGUAGGGUAAAGAAAAUAUCAGGCUUUUCUGCCCUCCCGCCAUCAGGAUAGAUGAUGGAUCCUUGUCCUGAAUGCAUGCCUGAUGGCGGGCACCUGGAAUAGGGUGUGGGCAUAGGUAGAUGUGAUUCACCUGGGCUAAGACUGGGCUUUUAAGGGCGGCGUCACGGGGACGCCAGCAGCAGCAGCCGAAGCCGAAAGAGAAGCCGAGAAGCAGCAGAACGAACGCCAGAGAGCCCAGAUAGAGUGAAGACUUGCUGGGGGCUGGGAGGCCUGCCAGCACCCCUGCCUGCCAUAUGCCUGGUGAACCCCAAUAAAAGACCUGCAAAACCACUGAGGACUCUGACUCCUCCUUUACCUGGUCUGCAUGGGAUCAGAAAACCUGCACUGUAUCCAGUCCUGCCCCUACACCAUCACAAAACAAAAAACAACCCCCAGAACCGAAAAAACACCCCCCCUCUCUAGGCAGAGGCAGAUAUGUGAACAUCUCCAAUACAAGAAAAUGCAAAUCACCGACUCAGACACCCCUGCUCCCCCCAGAGCCCAGG